rnacentral:rRNA from 1 species
GACGAACCGUGCGAACGUUGUUCGGAUUCACUGGGCUUAAAGGGCGCGUAGGCGGGCCAGCGAGUCCGGGGUGAAAUCUUUCGGCUUAACCGGAAAACAGCCUCGGAUACCGAUGGCCUGGAGGGAGGUAGGGGCAUGCGGAACUUCCGGUGGAGCGGUGAAAUGCGUAGAUAUCGGAAGGAACGCCGGUGGCGAAAGCGGCGUGCUGGACCUCUUCUGACGCUGAGGCGCGAAAGCCAGGGGAGCAAACGGG